GAGUGAACGCUGGCGGUAGGCCUAACACAUGCAAGUCGAACGGCAGCACAGUAAGAGCUUGCUCUUACGGGUGGCGAGUGGCGGACGGGUGAGGAAUACAUCGGAAUCUACUUUUUCGUGGGGGAUAACGUAGGGAAACUUACGCUAAUACCGCAUACGACCUACGGGUGAAAGCAGGGGAUCUUCGGACCUUGCGCGAUUGAAUGAGCCGAUGUCGGAUUAGCUAGUUGGCGGGGUAAAGGCCCACCAAGGCGACGAUCCGUAGCUGGUCUGAGAGGAUGAUCAGCCACACUGGAACUGAGACACGGUCCAGACCCCUACGGGAGGCAGCAGUGGGGAAUAUUGGACAAUGGGCGCAAGCCUGAUCCAGCCAUACCGCGUGGGUGAAGAAGGCCUUCGGGUUGUAAAGCCCUUUUGUUGGGAAAGAAAAGCAGCAGGUUAAUACCCCGCUGUUCUGACGGUACCCAAAGAAUAAGCACCGGCUAACUUCGUG
rnacentral:rRNA from 1 species